rnacentral:rRNA from 2 species
CUGUGUGUUGUUGGGUAGGGGAGCGUUCUGUAAGCCUGUGAAGGUGGCCUGUGAGGGUUGCUGGAGGUAUCAGAAGUGCGAAUGCUGACAUAAGUAACGAUAAAGCGGGUGAAAAGCCCGCUCGCCGGAAGACCAAGGGUUCCUGUCCAACGUUAAUCGGGGCAGGGUGAGUCGACCCCUAAGGCGAGGCCGAAAGGCGUAGUCGAUGGGAAACGGGUUAAUAUUCCCGUACUUGGUGUUACUGCGAAGGGGGGACGGAGAAGGCUAUGUUGGCCGGGCGACGGUUGUCCCGGUUUAAGCGUGUAGGUGUGUGUUCCAGGUAAAUCCGGUUCACUUUAACACUGAGGCGUGACGACGAGGCACUACGGUGCUGAAGCAACAAAUGCCCUGCUUCCAGGAAAAGCCUCUAAGCAUCAGGUAACAUCAAAUCGUACCCCAAACCGACACAGGUGGUCAGGUAGAGAAUACCAAGGCGCUUGAGAGAACUCGGGUGAAGGAACUAGGCAAAAUGGUGCCGUAACUUCGGGAGAAGGCACGCUGACACGUAGGUGAAGUGAUUUACUCAUGGAGCUGAAGUCAGUCGAAGAUACCAGCUGGCUGCAACUGUUUAUUAAAAACACAGCACUGUGCAAACACGAAAGUGGACGUAUACGGUGUGACGCCUGCCCGGUGCCGGAAGGUUAAUUGAUGGGGUCAGCGCAAGCGAAGCUCCUGAUCGAAGCCCCGGUAAACGGCGGCCGUAACUAUAACGGUCCUAAGGUAGCGAAAUUCCUUGUCGGGUAAGUUCCGACCUGCACGAAUGGCGUAAUGAUGGCCAGGCUGUCUCCACCCGAGACUCAGUGAAAUUGAACUCGCUGUGAAGAUGCAGUGUACCCGCGGCAAGACGGAAAGACCCCGUGAACCUUUACUAUAGCUUGACACUGAACAUUGAGCCUUGAUGUGUAG